GACAUAAGGACGAGGACUGGGUUAAACAUCGCCAGGAUGGAUGCUGCAGCGCCGAGUAAACUCAGACCUUCAGAGCGGAGGCGUCACCGUUACACACUGCUGCUGAACGGGAAGAAGUAGCUCCAGAGGUAUUUAGACUGUUUUAUUUGUUUCUAGGCUUUACACUGAUUUAAAAGCUGCCAGCUUUCCUCCAACAAAUCAGUAGUUUAGUCCCAUCGUAUGAAAGCGAGUUUUUUUUUGUCUGUUCAGUAAGCAGCAUCCUGAGCCUCCAGACUCCUGCUCAACAGUCUAAAUGCAGAACAGCUGCAAUUAUUUUCUACUUUUUUGUCCUUUCUAUUAUCUGUUUAAUGGUUUUUCAAACAAUUUCAGCAUAAUUUUAAAGUCUUGCCUCGGAUUUGAAUCGAGAAAUGGACUUGGACUAGACCAUUCUAUCAGAUUGAUCUGAACCAUUCCAUUAUAGCUCUGCUACUGGGUCUGCAGUCUGCGGGUCCAGAGCUGCCAGUGGCUCUUCGGAUCCUUCACUAUGUGUCUGAGUGACUUUGUUAAAAAUUACAAAACACAAACUGAAGUUUUUAAAUAUAGGUGUAAUAACAAAAGUCAGUCUUAGCUGCUUUGAAACCUUUUUGUGGAAUAAUUGCAUUGAAUUUCCACAGCAGAAUGACACUGGAAGUGUCAUUUAUAUUUUUAAGAUCUACUUUUUCUUGUCUCUGUGUUGGAAAUCCCACCAGUGUCUACUACAGAUAUUUUAUUUUCCAGUAUUUUGAUUGUAACUACAUAUUUAAUUUGCAAACAUUUUUUAUUGUUUUGGAACUGACAUUCAUUAAUAUGUGAAUAACUUUAUAAUAUGACUGACAUUUGAAUUUAUUCCAGUUUUAUUGUAUUUACUUAUGGAUGUUCUCUUUUUCUUUCUUUUACAAAUGUGGUGAAAAUAUGUCGAAAGAUGAAGCCACAGUUUUUUCCCUAAUGACUAAAUAAUAAAUUACUGCUGUUCAUUUUUCCCUCUGAGACUUUUCAAUAGGCACUACAACUUUAUCUGCUUUUGUUCUGCGUUUUUUAUAAAUGUCAACAUCCCAUGAAAGAAAGUGGAGUUUUUUCUUUUUCAGAGCCUAAAAACAAAACACAUUUAAAACGGUUGUUCUUUCAAAAUAACAAACUUCUUAUAGUAGACUCUUUAUUUUGUUUUUUUAAUUUAAGCUGCCGUUUUUCAAAAGUUCAUGUAAUAUUUGUGGCUCUAAACAGGGUUUCUGUAGCUUCAUGCAUGAUGCUGCCACCACCGUGUUUCAGGGCUUUUUCCACAACACAUAAUACAGUUUCACUUCUUUCAUUUACAGCUUAGAAAUAUACGUUAGAGUCGACGGUGUGAGUCCCUUCAUCCAACUCAAAUGAAUCAGAAUCUUACCCUGUUUCUACAUCCUGAACUUCCUACUCAGGCAUUUUCAAAGGAGCAUAAAGAGCAACAGGAGCUUUCAGAGACUCUUGAGUUUAUUUUUCGCUAAAAGCUUCGAAAGGAAAAAAAGAAAACUCCACGGAUAAAAACCUUGAUGGCAUGUCCAUCAACGCCUGUCUGCAGGACAGGAAUAUAUGUGAAUCAGUGUGUGUGUGUGCGUGUGUGUGUGUGUGUGUGUGUGUGUGUG